GUAGGUGGCAAGCGUUGCCCGGAAUUAUUGGGCGUAAAGCGCGCGCAGGCGGUUCUUUAAGUCUGAUGUGAAAGCCCACGGCUCAACCGUGGAGGGUCAUUGGAAACUGGAGAACUUGAGUACAGAAGAGGAAAGCGGAAUUCCACGUGUAGCGGUGAAAUGCGUAGAGAUGUGGAGGAACACCAGUGGCGAAGGCGGCUUUCUGGUCUGUAACUGACGCUGAGGGGCGAAAGCGUGGGGAGCAAACAGGGAUUAGAUACCCUGGUAGUCCACGCCGUAAACGAUGAGUGCUAAGUGUUAGGGGGUUUCCGCCCCCUUAGUGCUGCAGCUAACGCAUUAAGCACUCCGCCUGGGGAGUACGGCCGCAAGGCUG
rnacentral:rRNA from 1 species